CGUGUAUAUGCGACCAGAAGGGGGGCAAGGAAGAACAAACCCUAAUCAACACAAAUUGAUCAAAUUGAAAGGGGAUUUGGAGUUUAGGUGAAUGUAUGACUUAAGAAUGAUGAUCACCUAAGUGUUUCUUGUAUCAAGCACAAAGAAGGAAGAAGGCGCGAGUCACUCAAAGGCACAAUCAUCACAAGAUCGCGGUAAAUCUCUUGCUUGAAUGCGGCGCGCCCGAACCGGACACACACACGAAAUGUCGACUCUAAGCGCUUCCGGUCUAAGUUGUUUGUUUGAUGGGUUAUCUUACCAUUUUGAUUAGUAAAUGUCAUUUUGUAUGUGUCUAGUUUGUUAGUAGAAAGUUUGGAUACUAAA